GAUGAACGCUAGCUACAGGCUUAACACAUGCAAGUCGAGGGGCAGCAUGGUCUUAGCUUGCUAAGGCCGAUGGCGACCGGCGCACGGGUGAGUAACACGUAUCCAACCUGCCGUCUACUCUUGGACAGCCUUCUGAAAGGAAGAUUAAUACAAGAUGGCAUCAUGAGUCCACAUGUUCACAUGAUUAAAGGUAUUCCGGUAGACGAUGGGGAUGCGUUCCAUUAGAUAGUAGGCGGGGUAAUGGCCCACCUAGUCUUCGAUGGAUAGGGGUUCUGAGAGGAAGGUCCCCCACAUUGGAACUGAGACACGGUCCAAACUCCUACGGGAGGCAGCAGUGAGGAAUAUUGGUCAAUGGGCGAGAGCCUGAACCAGCCAAGUAGCGUGAAGGAUGACUGCCCUAUGGGUUGUAAACUUCUUUUAUAAAGGAAUAAAGUCGGGUAUGCAUACCCGUUUGCAUGUACUUUAUGAAUAAGGAUCGGCUAACUCCGUGCCAGCAGCCGCGGUAAUACGGAGGAUCCGAGCGUUAUCCGGAUUUAUUGGGUUUAAAGGGAGCGUAGAUGGAUGUUUAAGUCAGUUGUGAAAGUUUGCGGCUCAACCGUAAAAUUGCAGUUGAUACUGGAUAUCUUGAGUGCAGUUGAGGCAGGCGGAAUUCGUGGUGUAGCGGUGAAAUGCUUAGAUAUCACGAAGAACUCCGAUUGCGAAGGCAGCCUGCUAAGCUGCAACUGACAUUGAGGCUCGAAAGUGUGGGUAUCAAACAGGAUUAGAUACCCUGGUAGUCCACACGGUAAACGAUGAAUACUCGCUGUUUGCGAUAUACAGCAAGCGGCCAAGCGAAAGCGUUAAGUAUUCCACCUGGGGAGUACGCCGGCAACGGUGAAACUCAAAGGAAUUGACGGGGGCCCGCACAAGCGGAGGAACAUGUGGUUUAAUUCGAUGAUACGCGAGGAACCUUACCCGGGCUUAAAUUGCAGAUGAAUUACGGUGAAAGCCGUAAGCCGCAAGGCAUCUGUGAAGGUGCUGCAUGGUUGUCGUCAGCUCGUGCCGUGAGGUGUCGGCUUAAGUGCCAUAACGAGCGCAACCCUUGUUGUCAGUUACUAACAGGUUCCGCUGAGGACUCUGACAAGACUGCCAUCGUAAGAUGUGAGGAAGGUGGGGAUGACGUCAAAUCAGCACGGCCCUUACGUCCGGGGCUACACACGUGUUACAAUGGGGGGUACAGAGGGCCGCUACCACGCGAGUGGAUGCCAAUCCCAAAACCUCUCUCAGUUCGGACUGGAGUCUGCAACCCGACUCCACGAAGCUGGAUUCGCUAGUAAUCGCGCAUCAGCCACGGCGCGGUGAAUACGUUCCCGGGCCU
rnacentral:rRNA from 1 species